rnacentral:rRNA from 1 species
CAUGCAGUCGUACGAUGGAAGCCGCUAUCGGUGGUGGAUUAGUGGCGAACGGGUGAGUAACACGUGGGCAAUCUGCCCUGCACUCUGGGACAAGCCCUGGAAACGGGGUCUAAUACCGGAUAUGACACGGGAUCGCAUGGUCUCCGUGUGGAAAGCUCCGGCGGUGCAGGAUGAGCCCGCGGCCUAUCAGCUUGUUGGUGGGGUGAUGGCCUACCAAGGCGACGACGGGUAGCCCGCCUGAGAGGGCGACCGGCCACACUGGGACUGAGACACGGCCCAGACUCCUACGGGAGGCAGCAGUGGGGAAUAUUGCACAAUGGGCGCAAGCCUGAUGCAGCGACGCCGCGUGAGGGAUGACGCCCUUCGGGUUGUAAACCUCUUUCAGCAGGGAAGAAGCGCGAGUGACGGUACCUGCAGAAGAAGCACCGGCUAACUACGUGCCAGCAGCCGCGGUAAUACGUAGGGUGCGAGCGUUGUCCGGAAUUAUUGGGCGUAAAGAGCUCGUAGGCGGCUUGUCGCGUCGGAUGUGAAAGCCCGGGGCUUAACCCCGGGUCUGCAUUCGAUACGGGCAGGCUAGAGUUCGGCAGGGGAGAUUGGAAUUCCUGGUGUAGCGGUGAAAUGCGCAGAUAUCAGGAGGAACACCGGUGGCGAAGGCGGAUCUCUGGGCCGAUACUGACGCUGAGGAGCGAAAGCGUGGGGAGCGAACAGGAUUAGAUACCCUGGUAGUCCACGCCGUAAACGUUGGGCACUACGUGUGGGCGGCAUUCCACGUCGUCCGUGCCGCAGCUAACGCAUUAAGUGCCCCGCCUGGGGAGUACGGCCGCAAGGCUAAAACUCAAAGGAAUUGACGGAGGCCCGCACAAGCGGCGGAGCAUGUGGCUUAAUUCGACGCAACGCGAAGAACCUUACCAAGGCUUGACAUACACCGGAAAGCCGUAGAGAUACGGCCCCCCUUGUGGUCGGUGUACAGGUGAUGCAUGGGCUGUCGUCAGCUCGUGCCGUGAGAUGUUGGGUUAACUCCCGCAACAAGCGCAACACCUUGUACUGCGUUGCCACCAACUCCUUUUCGGGGAGGUUGAGGACUCACGCGAUGACUGCCGAGGUCACACUCGCUAGGAAGGUGGGGACGACGUCAAGUCAUCAUGCCCCUUAUGUCUUGGGCUGCACACGUGCUACAAUGGCCGGUACAAUGAGCUGCGAUGCCGUGAGGUGGAGCGAAUCUCAAAAAGCCGGUCUCAGUUCGGAUUGGGGUCUGCAACUCGACCCCAUGAAGUCGGAGUCGCUAGUAAUCGCAGAUCAGCAUUGCUGCGGUGAAUACGUUCCCGGGCCUUGUACACACCGCCCGUCACGUCACGAAAGUCGGUAACACCCGAAGCCGGUGGUACGCAGAUCCCAUUCUGUGGGACAGAAUCGUACGUAUG